GGAAAGGUGAAAAGCACCCCGAUAAGGGGAGUGAAAUAGAUCCUGAAACCGGAUGCUUACAAGCAGUGGGAGCCUCCUUGUGGGGUGACCGCGUACCUUUUGUAUAAUGGGUCAGCGAGUUAAUUUUGCGAGCGAGCUUAAGCCGUUAGGUGUAGGCGCAGGGAAACCGAGUGUUAAUAGCGCGAUAUAGUUCGUAGGAUUAGACCCGAAGCCCGGUGAUCUAGCCAUGAGCAGGUUGAAGGUGAGGUAACACUCACUGGAGGACCGAACCCACUUAUGUUGAAAAAUG
rnacentral:rRNA from 1 species